rnacentral:rRNA from 1 species
UACGAGGGGGGCAAGCGUUGUUCGGAAUUAUUGGGCGUAAAGGGUGCGUAGGCGGUUUGGUAAGUCUGAUGUGAAAUCUAUGGGCUCAACUCAUAGUCUGCAUCGGAAACUGCCGGGCUUGAGUAUGGGAGAGGUGAGUGGAAUUCCUGGUGUAGCGGUGAAAUGCGUAGAUAUCAGGAGGAACACCUGUGGCGAAAGCGGCUCACUGGACCUUACCUGACGCUGAGGAGCGAAAGCGUGGGGAGCGAACAGG